UACGGAGGGUGCAAGCGUUAUCCGGAUUCACUGGGUUUAAAGGGGGCGUAGGGGGGUUGGUAAGUCCGUGGUGAAAUCUCCGAGCUUAACUCGGAAACUGCCGUGGAUACUAUCAAUCUUGAAUACUGUGGAGGUAAGCGGAAUAUGUCAUGUAGCGGUGAAAUGCUUAGAUAUGACAUAGAACACCGAUAGCGAAGGCAGCUUGCUACACAGUCAUUGACACUGAGGCACGAAAGCGUGGGGAGCAAACAGG
rnacentral:rRNA from 1 species